rnacentral:rRNA from 1 species
ACUCAAAUGAAUUGACGGGGGCCCGCACAAGCGGCGGAGCGUGCUCUUUAAUUCGUCGCAACGCGAAGAACCUUACCAGGGUUUGACAUGGAUCUGCAGAGCCGUGAAAGCGGUUGGCCUUCGAGGGUGAUCCACAGGUGCUGCAUGGCUGUCGUCAGCUCGUGUCGUGAGAUGUUGGGUUAAGUCCCGCAACGAGCGCAACCCUUGUGUCCAGUUGCGAUUUUCUGGACAGACUGCCGGGAGCAAACCGGAGGAAGGUAGGGAUGAUGUCAAGUCCGCAUGGCCCUUAUGUCCUGGGCGAGAAGCACGCUACAAUGGGUACGACAAUGGGUUGCCAAGCGGUAACGUGGAGCUAAUCCCUUCAAACGUACUCUCAGUUCGGAUCGAGGGCUGCAACUCGCCCUCGUGAAGGUGGAGUCGCUAGUAACCGCAGGUCAGCAGUACUGCGGUGAAUAUGUUCCCGGGCCUUGUACACACCGCCCGU